GAAAAGUGGCCAUGGUGUCAGCUGGCCCUGAAUUUCAGUCUAGCGCGGAUGCAUUAGCUGUGCAGCCUUGAACAUUUAACUUCUCUGAGCCAUGAUUUCCUCAUCUACAAAGUGGGGUUCAUCAUAUCUGUUUUUUAAUAGUCACUGGGAAGAUCAAAGGGGACAGCACACAUAAAACACAUUCGUCACACUUUUAUCUCUCCGAGCUGGGCAGAGUGGCUGCAUUCGUUCUGUAAACAAUCACUGAUUGCUUAUCGCUAAGCAUUGUUCUGGGUUCUGGGGAAUCGGUAAUGAACAAAAAGUUUCUCCUAAAGCUCACAUUCUGACAGGGAAGCGAGUGGAUGAACCAAUACAUGAACAAACAGGAGAAUUUCAGAUCGCAGUCAGAGCUCCCAAGACAAGGACAGAGGCCGGCAUAGCAGGGGGUGAUUUAGUAGGAAGCCGAGGCGGCGUCAGAGUGUGCAGAGACUUUGGAACCUGAAGACUGAGAGACUGUCUGCCUCGCCAGGACCUGGGGAAGGAAGAGCGUUCAACGCAGAGAAGACCGAAAGGACGCACGAGAUGUGCGGGGAAGGAUGGCUGCCUUCUCGCUGUGUCGUCACAUGGCAGAGAGUUUAAGUUCAAGUCUAAGAGAGUUCAAGAAAAUUCUAGCCUCUUCCUCUUCUUCUAAGGACACUACUCCUAUUGUGAGGGCCCAACUCUCAUGAAUUCGUCUAAACCUUAUUACCUCUCAAAGAUACCACCUCCCAAUACCAUCACAUUCAGAGAGAUCCAGUUUAUCUUGAGCAGGCAAAGAAAACGAAGGUCCGAUGAAAACUAUAUACCUAUUUUAUUUACAUUAAUGAAGCAAGAAGACAUAAAAUCACAAUGAUUUCUUCUUUUUGGUGGAUAAAUGAUCGAGAAAGGAAUGUUGAAGUCAGGAAGACUGAAAGAGUUUUGUCAAGAAACCAUAGCAGAAAGUGAUGGGAUUCUCUACCAUGGAGAAGCUCACGGAAUUCAAGAGGAAAGUUUCACUUGUUCAAAAGGAAAAAGAAAAUUCAUUCUGGGAACACCUUGAAAGAAUGAUUUUUGACUGUGGGCUGGUUGGCUUACCUGCCAGAUGUUUUUAACCAUGUGAAUGAGAUGACUCUUUCAGUUCAAGGCCCCAAUAUCAUCGUUAUGAUGCUUCUGGAAACAUUAUGAGCUUUCUUGGCUGGCAGGGGGCUGACAUCUUUGCAAACUUUCAAAUGCAGGGAGGGAAGCGCUUUACCUCAAAGGAGUUGAGUUACAAAAUGCUGUCAGUUUAUUUGAAAAGAGUAAUCUGGAACCACCUGGAAACACUUCAGAACUCUUGCAAAAGUUGUUUCUAUCUUGAUAGUAACAAAAUUGAACCCUAGAAGGCAUUCUUUUUCUUACAGAUAUAAACUGUAUCAAUGGUGUUGACCUAGCCAGAGAUGAAUUUGUUGAUUGUAGGAACAAGAAACCACUGUAACUCAUUUCACUAAAAAGCCUUGGAGAGUUUUUGUGGUUCCUGGGAGACACUUAAUUUUUAUGUUGUGAAGUUACUAUCAAGUUUUAAUUUCAUUUUUAACACUAUAUCCUUGAGGAAUGGAUUUUCAACCUUGUUACCAUUAAAAAAAAAAAAAAAAAAUCAGGAGUUCCCGUUGCAGUGCAGCGGAAAGGAAUCUGACUAGGAUCCAUGAGGACGCAGG